rnacentral:snoRNA from 1 species
UUAUAUGUGUAAAUGUCUCUUUCUCAUUCCUUUAGGAGCAAAAGUAUAUCUGUAAUAUGCCAGACUGAAAGUUGCCAGGCUGCCAGUCUAAUAGUGGAGGUUGAGUGCUAGUGUACUUCCCCUACAUAA